GAUAAUAAUUUGUUAAAAGAAAGGUUAGAACAAUUGACUAAGAUGAAACGUAAAAUGGAGGACGAGAUACAAUCUAACCAGGAAAUGCUUGAACAAUUACGUGUCGAAAAUGAUGAGUUAAAAAAAAGGUUAAUUUUGGAAAGUGAAAAAAAAGUAAUGGAACAUAUUACACAACAACAUGCUGUGUCAUUGUCUGAUGGUCCUGUUGUAGAGGGUAUGGCAUCAAGUACAUAUAUGAGUGAAAAGUUUGUCGAUGGUUUACAAACUCAACUUAAAUUAGCACAUCAACAAUUGAAAAAUAUAUCGGAUGAAUUAGAUCGAGCAAAGUUAGACGAAGAAAAAUAUAAAUCAAAAAUUGAAAGUUUAAAAGAAAAAUUUGCUAAAGAAGAAAUUGAAAAAAAGAAAAUAGAAGAAAAUUUGUUUCACAAUAAUACAAAUAACAUAAUACAAAUGAACAAAAUAAAAGUAGAAUUAGAUAUGUUAUUAGAAGAAAAAAGAACAUUUUUACUUAUAAAAGAGAAAUAUGAAAAAGAAAUAGAACAAUUACAAAGAACUGUUGAUACAUAUAUGAAUGCAAAAAAAAAUGAUAUUAAUAUAAUUGAGAAAGAUAAAUUAAAGGAACAGAUAGAUGCUCAUUUAAACCGAAUUAGGGAAGAAGAAAAGGAAAAAAUCAAUUUAAAUUUUAAAAUUAAAAAAUUAGAAAAUGAGAAUGCAGAGUUAAAAAAUAGAAUCAGUAUGUACUUAGAAAGUGAUGUUGUAUAUGGAACUGCAAAUGGAAUUGUAAGUGGAACUGCAAGUGGAACUGCAAAUGGAACUGCAAGUAGAACUCCAAGUGGAACUGCAAAUGGAAUUUCAAGUGAAACUGCAAAUGGAAUGGAUGAGAGUCAUGAUGAUGUUACAAAUGGUGUUGAUCGUGUAGGAAGUAAUAUAAACUUAAGCUUUGUCCCAUCACAACCAAAUAAUAAAACAGAAAUAUCCUCCAAUGAAAUUUAUAAAUAUAUAAAUGAGAAUAUAGAUUUAACUGCUGAGUUAGAAAAUAAAAAUGAUUAUAUUGAUAAAUGUAAUGAAGAGAUAAAACAAAAAAGUGAUCACAUUAUUGAAUUGUGUAAUAGUAUAUCUACUUUAACAAACGAAAAUAAAACAUUAAAAAAAUCCUUACAUUUAAUGGAAAGAUAUAAAUUAAAUAUGCAUGAACAUAUAAAAGAAAAAGAUGAAAUUAUUCAUUAUUUAAAAAAUAUAUUUUUUGAGAAAAUUGAUAGUAUUUUAAAUUAUUAUUCGACGAAUACACGAAUAAGUGCUAUGGAUGAAACGGUUUGCUCUGACCUUCAAAAUGUGAUGAAGGUGCCCUCUGAUGAAGUUGUGUCUUUGUUACGAAGUUUAACUCGUGCGAGUAUGUUGGGGGAUGACAUCGUUACUGGCACUGGUACUGGCACUGGCACGGGUACGGAUACUGGUACUGGUACUGGUACUGGUACUGUUACUGGUACUGUUACUGGUACUGUUACUGGUACGGAUACUGGUACUGGUACGGAUACUGGUACUGGUACCGGCACUGGCACUGGCACUACUAAUGCGACUACUCCCACUGGUACUACAUCACGUAACGGCGAUAACAUGACUUCUUGCACAGACGAAGAAAGUUGUACUUUUUCUAACAAUAACAAAGAACACAUUUCUAUAAUAAAAUGUAACUUGCUAAAAUUAUUUAAACUGGGAUCAUGUUAUUUAUACAUUAUCAAUAGAAACAUGAAAGAAAUCAAAACGUUAAAAAAUAAAAUAGCUUGUCUUGAAGGUAGCAUUGAAAGUUUAACAGAGCAUAUCGAAAAUUUGAAAAAGGAAAAUGCGCAAAAUGAAUUAAUAUAUAAUGAGAGUAUUGAACAAAUUCAACAACUAAAAGAAAAUUUAAAAACGAAUGAACAAUAUAUUGAAGAACUAAAUACAAAUAUUUUACAAAAUAAAGAAAUAAAUAAAAUAAAUGCAAAUAACUUAAAAACCUAUAAAGAUUUUAUUGUUUAUUUAAUUUUAAAAAACAAAAUAUUUUUUGUUAUUAUGUAUAUGUUUAAUAUGAAACAAAAAAUUGAACAAACAGUAGUUACUUCCUUAUGCAACAUCAAAAAAACACAUGAUGUUUAUUUAUAUCAUGCCAUUGUUGAAGAAUUAAAAAAUGAGUACCCUCAUUUUCAUUUAGAUUAUGACAUGUCAGAAGAAAAUUAUAAGAAUAUUCGAAUGUUUAGUCGAAAGUUGGAUUGGUUGAAUGAGAGGAGGGAGUUAGACAUGAUGGUAGAUCCUGAGUUGGGUCAAGAGAAAGGACAAGAGUUUGAACAAGAGUUGGGACAAGAGUUGGGACAAGAGUUGGAACAACAAUUGGGUCAAGAUUUAGGACAACAAUUGGAACAACANNNNNNNNNNUUGGGUCAAGAUUUAGGACAACAGUUGGGUCAAGAUUUAGGACAACAGUUGGGUCAAGAUUUAGGACAACAGUUGGGUCGAGAUUUAGGACAACAGUUGGAACAAGAGCAGGGUCAAGUUACAAAUAUAUACAGUUCAGAUGUGGAAAGCACUAAAUAUAAAAAGACGAAUGAUAUACAACAAAUUGGUUAUACGCAAAUCGAAAACUAUGCCGAAAAAGAAAUUCAAAAUAUACAAUUUAAUGCUCAAGUGGAUAAUAGUAGUAGUAAUCUCGCAAAGAAUGUUAACUUAGACUUAGGUGGAGAAAAAGGGACAGUAAAUAAAGACAUAGAUAAAGACAUAGAUAAAGACAUAGAUAAAGACAUAGAUAAAGACAUAGAUAAAGACAUAGAUAAAGACAUAGAUAAAGANNNNNNNNNNAUAGAUAAAGACAUAGAUAAAGACAUAGAUAAAGAUAUAGAUAAAGAUAUAGAUAAAGACAUAGAUAAAGACAUAAGUGAUGCAUAUGAUAGUGACGCAUAUAAAAGUCUGGAUGAGGGUGCAAGUCGUGCUAACGAAAACAUUGUGAACAAAAAAAAUGUUAAUGAAACGAUGAGUUUAUAUAUAGAAAAUGUAAUAACAAAUGUAAAUAAAACUGAGGAUAAUACUGAAUGUGAUGAUAUGCACCAAGUAAAAAAUAAUAAUAGUUGUAGUAAUAGUCAUAAUGUUAAUCUUACCAAUACUAGUAAUGACCAUUCUGAUACUACAUUUAACAGUCAUAAUAAUAAUGACACUAACACAUUUAUAAAUAACGAGUUGGACAAAAACUAUUUAAGUAAGUUUAUUUUUAAUGGACCAAUUCGAAAUGGUUUUAGUACAUCAAAAGAUGAUACUGUAUGUGAAAAAGGAGGUGACACAGGAGGUGAAAAAGGAGGUGAAACAGGAGGUGAAACAGGAGGUGAAACAGGAGGUGAAACAGGAGGUGAAAAAGGAGGUGAAACAGGAGGUGAAACAGGAGGUGAAACAGGAGGUGAAACAGGAGGUGAAAAAGGAGGUGAAACAGGAGGUGAAACAGGAGGUGAAACAGGAGGUGAAACAGGAGGUGAAAAAGGAGGUGAAACAGGAGGUGAAACAGGAGGUGAAACAGGAGGUGAAACAGGAGGUGAAAAAGGAGGUGAAACA
ensembl:lncRNA